CCUACGGGAGGCAGCAGUAGGGAAUAUUGCUCAAUGGGGGAAACCCUGAAGCAGCGACGCCGCGUGAAGGAUGAAGUUUUUCGGAUUGUAAACUCCUUUUGUUAGGGAAGAUAGUAACGGUGUCUAACGAAUAACCACCGGCUAACUCCGUCCCAGCAGCCGCGGUAAUACGGCGGGUGCGGGCGUUAAUAGGAAUUACUGGGGGGAAAGAGCGCGGAGGCGGGGUAGCAAGUCAGAUGUGAAAGCCGAGGGCGUAAACCACGAACUGCAUUUGAAAAUGGUAUUCUAGAGGAUGGGAGAGGUAGGUGGAAUUCUUGGUGUAGCGGUGAAAUGCGUAGAGAUCAAGAGGAAGACUAAUUGCGAAGGCGACAUGCUAGAAUAUAACUGACGCUGAUGCGCGAAAGCGUGGGGAGCAAACAGGAUUAGAUACCCGAGUAGUC
rnacentral:rRNA from 1 species